rnacentral:rRNA from 1 species
AGGACGAACGCUGGCGGCGUGCUUAACACAUGCAAGUCGAGCGGUAAGGGCCCUUCGGGGUACACGAGCGGCGAACGGGUGAGUAACACGUGGGUGACCUGCCCUCAGCUCUGGGAUAAGCCCGGGAAACUGGGUCUAAUACCGGAUAUGACCUCUCAUCACAUGAUGGGUGGUGGAAAGUUUUUCGGCUGGGGAUGGGCCCGCGGCCUAUCAGCUUGUUGGUGGGGUGAUGGCCUACCAAGGCGACGACGGGUA